rnacentral:lncRNA from 1 species
CGCGAGAAAGCUAAGCGGAUUGGUGGCUAAUAGAUUUGGUGGAGGAGAAAGAAACUGCGGAACACAAUGGAAAAAUGGAAAAUAAGAAAAAAUGAAAUGUGCUUGGAAGGUGACUAGAAAAGGAUCCCAAGGAUUCCCUAACCUUGACUUUCAACAAGAAAUUGAUUUUGGGUUUCAGAAAUUCAAUUCCCAUUAAUUUCAAAAGUGAAUAUACAAUGGUGGAACUAUGUAUUUAUAGUGACCCAUAUCCAUGCAAGCUAAAAAUACUAUACAAUGAAGAUAAGAAAUACAAUUAGAGAACACUGAAAAAGGUUUGUUG